UCUUUCUUUGCUGGCGACCGGCGCACGGGUGAGUAACACGUAUCCAACCUGCCCUUUACUCGGGGAUAGCCUUUCGAAAGAAAGAUUAAUACCCGAUAGCAUAAUGAUUCCGCAUGGUUUCAUUAUUAAAGGAUUCCGGUAAAGGAUGGGGAUGCGUUCCAUUAGGUUGUUGGUGAGGUAACGGCCCACCAAGCCUUCGAUGGAUAGGGGUUCUGAGAGGAAGGUCCCCCACAUUAGAACUGAGACACGGUCCAA
rnacentral:rRNA from 1 species